rnacentral:misc_RNA from 1 species
GAAAAUCUCUUGUGUCCUCUCCCAAUGUGCGCACGAUAGUAGUUGCUCUUUCAUACAUGUCUUUCGAUACUUGUAUGUACCAAAGUAAUCUACUAUGUAUGCUAAUCUCUGGAUAUCUAACUUUGUCAAGUGCCUGUCAUACCUUUGUCAGUGAUGGCCAUCUCCAGGUUAUUCCAACUUAAACCAUUUUCGUAAAUUUCAUAUCAGAUUGUGAAAGCAUAAGCAAACAAAUAAACAGUAAGCACACAUCACUAUUUUCCCCUAAUUUUCUUUAUAUCUUUGGCUCAAGUUCAACAGAGAUAUGGGAUUGCAGGAAAUUGCAAUCCCUACCUCAUGCUAGACCAUUACUCUUUUUUUACCAGCUUAUACCUGAAAAACUGGGAAAUAUCACCAUUUAACUACUAUGCACACUGAUCUCAUCAAAGAAAUUUUCCAUUAGCUCAUAUGCAGGAAUAGAUUACCAAUUACUACAAAUUGUCUACUGCUUAUGUCAUCUCAGAAGUUGUACUUUAAUAUGGUUAGUUGGCAAUAGACCCUACAGGUUGAAAUAUAAUUAUAGUUAAUUAGUUACUACUUCACCAAUAUGAGUUGUGUAUAAAUUAACAAGAAUAUCCAAUAACAGACAAGCAGUCUAGCAUUGAAAAACACUACUGUGUAGCAAUUUCAUUCCUUCUAAUUUCUUCAAGGUUCAAUAAAGCUUCCCAGAUACAAUAAUUAACCAUUAACAUUCUAUUCUAAUACAAUAAUUAACCAUUAGCAUUCUAUUCUACAUACAAUAAUUAACCAUUAACAUUCUAUUCUAAUACAAUAAUUAACCAUUAGCAUUCUAUUCUAC